rfam:Ovis aries breed Texel chromosome 3, whole genome shotgun sequence.
UCCCUGAUAGCUCAGUUGGUAAAGAAUCUGCCUGCAGUGCAGGCGACCCUGGUUCAAUUUCUGGGUUGGGAAA